UUGUAUUAGGACUCUGGGUACUACUUUUCUGGAAGGGUGGUUCAGGUUUGGAGUGCAAAUGAAGUAUGGUCUGAGGAACACUGAAGGAGUGGAAGCCACACAGUCGCUGCAGUGUGGGCUGUGAAUUACAGCAUUUGAGGUGAUGCUGCACACCGAAGCCUUGCUGAUCUGCAGCCAUUAGCUACCACCAGCAAAAAGGAGAAGUAAAGAUAAUGAAUAAGCAAGCAGGAUAAAAAGAGGAGCUGCAGAGGAGUCCGCCUCAUUUCACCAGACUUCAUCCAAGGAGGAAUGCAGAAGGAGGCUUGUCGUGCUGCUGAGCCCAUCAAGCUCCCCAGCAAAGCAGAACUACAGACAGAAGUCUCUGGAGCAGAAACUUCAGGUGGACAAGAGCCAAUACGUGGAGCAGGUAUUGUUCUGACCCAGAGACCAUGGCUGUGAAGAUCAAGGAGAAGAAUGACUUAACACAGUGGGAUAGCUAGAAAUCACACAGCUGAGAUGACAAGAAGUCUUCAUGCCAGGACUAGGAAAAGAAAGGAAAGCUGAAGAAAGAAGGUGUGAGAUUGGCCCUGCAGUUGAAAUAAAAUGUCCUUGUAGCAGUCACUGUGCUACAUAAAUAGUAGAAAAGUCUCCUAGUAAAGAUUUCUGCUUAGAAGAAGGUGGAUGCAUCUCCAAGUUCCUUGCUGCUGGAGAUGAGAAGUCAACACAGCUGCAGCCAAAGGACAAAAUCACUCAAGAGAAUAUGAGUUAGUUUGUCUGCAGAUACCACAAGUGGAGACAAACAAGAAUCACAAGGACAAAUAAAAUCUACAGUUUUCACCUCAGGCCAAGUGCCUUAUGAACCCCAAAGGGCUGUUUUCUCCUAAGUAACGGCACAGCAAGGACUAUUGCUGUGCCCUACCCUUCAAUCUCCAUCUCUGCAGUCCUUGAUACACCACGGGACUAAAUGACCUGGGCAAGAAAAGGAACAAAGAGCAAAGCAGGCUCUAUAUAUGGUCACUGCUACAGACUUAAAUCCAGCUUUAAGACUGGGAAAAAUGGUAUACAACAGAGUGCAAAUAUGGAUCCCUCUCCUUAAGACAUCUGCUGUUCAGUGCAUCAUAGCUGUUGGAUGGAAAGGAUCCACAGUGGAAUGGAAGGAACACAGUUUUAUUCCCAGUGAUUUAAGAUUCUUGGGCACUUCUUGA
rnacentral:lncRNA from 1 species